rnacentral:tRNA from 3 species
GGGGGAUUGGCCGAGAGGCAAGGCACCGGCUCGGCCGGGCCGGAACCGUCGUUCCGGUCACCGGUGAGCCGCGGUCGGGCGCGAGCCCGCGCACGUUCGAUCCGUGCAUCCUCCG